CAGAACGAACGCUGGCGGCAGGCCUAACACAUGCAAGUCGAGCGCCCCGCAAGGGGAGCGGCGGACGGGUGAGUAACACGUGGGAAUUUUCCUCAAGGUACGGAACAACUCAGGGAAACUUGGGCUAAUACCGUAUGAUGCAGAGAUGCCAAAGAUUUAUCGCCUUGGGAUAAGCCCGCGUCAGAUUAGGUAGUUGGUGGGGUAAUGGCCUACCAAGCCUGUGAUCUGUAGCUGGUCUGAGAGGACGAUCAGCCACAUUGGGACUGAGACACGGCCCAAACUCCUACGGGAGGCAGCAGUGGGGAAUCUUGCGCAAUGGACGAAAGUCUGACGCAGCCAUGCCGCGUGAAUGAUGAAGGUCUUAGGAUUGUAAAGUUCUUUAGCCUGUGACGAUGAUGACGGUAACAGGAGAAUAAGCCCCGGCUAACUUCGUG
rnacentral:rRNA from 1 species